CCGACGUUUGUGUGCUGAGCUCCCCUUCCCUGAGGCCCCGACGUGUCUGCUGCUCUCCUCAGCUCCUGGGGCUCCUGGGGCUGAGGGGCUGCAUCUGUCUCAGCCUGGCCGUGACCCACUCAGCCGUGCUUCCCCUCUUUCAGCCGGUGGCUGCUGGCAGCGGAAUCCCCCAGAUCAAGUGCUUCCUCAACGGGGUGAAGAUCCCCCACGUGGUGCGGCUCAAGACGUUGGUGAUCAAAGUGUCCGGUGUGAUCCUGUCCGUGGUCGGGGGCCUGGCCGUGGGAAAGGUAACAAAGUGCACAUGGCCACUCCAGCUGGAGCCUGAGGCCGCCGGGCCCGCGAGGGCCGCCACGCCCAUGUGUGUCUCUGAGCACCGGUCCUUCUGGUCUCCAGGAAGGGCCGCGUCACGCGUGUCUCUGAGCACCGGUCCUUCUGGUCUCCAGGAAGGGCCGCGUCACGCGUGUCUCUGAGCACCGGUCCUUCUGGUCUCCAGGAAGGGCCGCGUCACGCGUGUCUCUGAGCAUCGGUCCUUCUGGUCUCCAGGAAGGGCCGCGUCACGCGUGUCUCUGAGCAUCGGUCCUUCUGGUCUCCAGGAAGGGCCGCGUCACGCGUGUCUCUGAGCACCGGUCCUUCUGGUCUCCAGGAAGGGCCG
rnacentral:lncRNA from 1 species